GACGAACGCUGGCGGCGUGCCUAAUACAUGCAAGUAGUACGCUGAAGGGAGGAGCUUGCUCUUCUUGGAUGAGUUGCGUACGGGUGAGUCACGUCGUAGGUAACCUGCCUUGUAGCGGGGGAUUACUAUUGGAAACGAUAGCUAAUACCGCAUCACAAUGGAUGACCCCAUGUCAUUUAUUUGAAAGGGGCAAAUGCUCCACUACAAGAUGGACCUGCGUUGUAUUAGCUAGUAGGUGAGGUAACGGCUCACCUAGGCGACGAUACAUAGCCGACCUGAGAGGGUGAUCGGCCACACUGGGACUGAGACACGGCCCAGACUCCUACGGGAGGCAGCAGUAGGGUAACUUCGGCAAUGGGGGCAACCCUGACCGAGCAACGCCGCGUGAGUGAAGAAGGUUUUCGGAUCGUAAAGCUCUGUUGUAAGUCAAGACACGAGUGUGAGAGUGGAAAGUUCACACUGUGACGGUAGCUUACCAGAAAGGGACGGCUAACUACGUGCCAGCAGCCGCGGUAAUACGUAGGUCCCGAGCGUUGUCCGGAUUUAUUGGGCGUAAAGCGAGCGCAGGCGGUUUGAUAAGUCUGAAGUUAAAGGCUGUGGCUCAACCAUAGUUCGCUUUGGAAACUGUCAAACUUGAGUGCAGAAGGGGAGAGUGGAAUUCCAUGUGUAGCGGUGAAAUGCGUAGAUAUAUGGAGGAACACCGGUGGCGAAAGCGGCUCUCUGGUCUGUAACUGACGCUGAGGCUCGAAAGCGUGGGGAGCGAACAGGAUUAGAUACCCUGGUAGUCCACGCCGUAAACGAUGAGUGCUAGGUGUUGGAUCCUUUCCGGGAUUCAGUGCCGCAGCUAACGCAUUAAGCACUCCGCCUGGGGAGUACGACCGCAAGGUUGAAACUCAAAGGAAUUGACGGGGGCCCGCACAAGCGGUGGAGCAUGUGGUUUAAUUCGAAGCAACGCGAAGAACCUUACCAGGUCUUG
rnacentral:rRNA from 1 species